rnacentral:rRNA from 1 species
UACGGAGGGUGCAAGCGUUGUUCGGAUUUACUGGGCGUAAAGCGCGCGCAGGUGGGUGAACAAGUCGGAUGUGAAAUCUUGAGGCUCAACCUCGAGGCUGCUCCCGAAACUGUUCGCCUAGGGACUGGUAGAGGCUGGUAGAAUUCCCGGUGUAGCGGUGGAAUGCGUAGAGAUCGGGAAGAAUACCCGUGGCGAAGGCGGCCAGCUGGGCCAGGUCCGACACUGAGGCGCGAAAGCGUGGGGAGCAAACAGG